rnacentral:rRNA from 1 species
UAGGGAAUCUUCGGCAAUGGACGGAAGUCUGACCGAGCAACGCCGCGUGCGUGAAGAAGGUCCUCGGAUCGUACAGCUCUGUUGUUAGAGAAGAACGCUGGUAGGAGUGGAAAAUCUACCAAGUGACGGUAACUAACCAGAAAGGGACGGCUAACUACGUGCCAGCAGCCGCGGUAAUACGUAGGUCCCGAGCGUUGUCCGGAUUUAUUGGGCGUAAAGCGAGCGCAGGCGGUUCUUUAAGUCUGAAGUUAAAGGCAGUGGCUUAACCAUUGUACGCUUUGGAAACUGGAGGACUUGAGUGCAGAAGGGGAGAGUGGAAUUCCAGGUGUAGCGGUGAAAUGCGUAGAUAUAUGGAGGAACACCGGUGGCGAAAGCGGCUCUCUGGUCUGUAACUGACGCUGAGGCUCGAAAGCGUGGGGAGCAAACAGG